CCUACGGGAGGCAGCAGUGAGGAAUAUUGGUCAAUGGGCGCGAGCCUGAACCAGCCAAGUAGCGUGAAGGAUGACUGCCCUACGGGUUGUAAACUUCUUUUGUAAAGGAAUAAAGUGAGGCACGUGUGCCUUUUUGUAUGUACUUUAUGAAUGAGGAUCGGCUCACUCCGGGCCAGCAGCCGCGGUAAUACGGAGGAUACGAGCGUUAUCCGGAUUUAUUGGGUUUAAAGGGAGCGUAGAUGGGUUGGUAAGGCAGUUGUGAAAGUUUGCGGCUCAACCGUAAAAUUGCAAUUGAUACUGGCAGUCUUGAGUACAGGUGAGGUAGGCGGAAUUCGUGGUGUAGCGGUGAUAUGCUUAGAUAUCACGAAGAACUCCGAUUGCGAAGGCAGCUUACUAAACUGCCACUGACAUUGAUGCUCGAAAGUGUGGGGAUCAAACAGGAUUAGAUACCCUAGUAGUC
rnacentral:rRNA from 1 species